AUUUCUGUGAGUUUCUUACAGGAAACAAGCAUAGUCAUGAGAGACCCAAAAUCCGAAAAGAAGUUACACUUCAGAUGGAAAACAUGAAGUCUUUCCCAGGGAACUCCGAUGAAGUGUUCCAACAAAAUGAGCGAGUGAACCAAGAAGAGGAUGACAUUAGAUCCAGGAGAUACAACAGAGGAGAUAAUCUCCAGGAUGCCUGUGAAGAAAGAUCCCUGGAUCCCAGGAUGAUUAUAGGACAAGUUGUUCAUAAUCCAGCAGGCCAGAAGACUUCCAGGGAAACUCAUUUCAAGAUGAAAAUGGACCAGCCGCAGUGGCUCACGCCUGUAAUACCAGCACUUUGGGAGGCUGAGGCAGGCGGAUCACUUGAGGUCAGGAGUUUGAAACUAGCCUGGCCAACGUGGCAAAACUCCAUCUCUAUUAAAAAUACAAAAAUUAGCCAGGCAUAGUGGUGCAUGCCUGUAGUCCCAGCUACUUGGGAUGCUGAGGCAGGAAGAAUUGCUUGAACCUGGGAGGCAGAGUCUGCAGUGAGCCGAGAUCAUGCCACUGCACUCCAGCCUGGGUGACAGAGCCAGACUCCGUCUCAAAAAAAAAAGAAAAAGAAAAAAAAAAUGAUGACUCUUUCAAGAAAUGAAAAUGAUGAGAUAUCUGGUAGGUCUGAAUGACUUAAGAGGAGAUUUAAACAUUUGGGAUAAGUUGAAGAUGAGCUGGUGUUCGUCUUCAUUUAUUUCAUUUAAAUAAAUAAAAUUAUUAAUACAUGAA